UCUUGUCGUCCGGGAACGGUGCACGUGCAAUGAGUGACGCAAAUUUAUAUCCAAAUGACUCUCGGCAACGGAUAUCUCGGCUCUCGCAUCGAUGAAGAACGUAGCGAAAUGCGAUACUUGGUGUGAAUUGCAGAAUCCCGUGAACCAUCGAGUCUUUGAACGCAAGUUGCGCCCGAAGCCAUUAGGCCGAGGGCACGUCUGGCUGGGUGUCACGCAACGUCGCCCCAACCCCCACGCCCAACGCAGGCCGUCGGGGGUCGAAGGCGGAUGAUGGCCUCCCGUGAGUCACGCCUCGCGGAUGGCCGAAAUAAGAGUUCGCGAUGUGGCGAGCACCACGGCGCACGGUAGUUGAGUAAACAACGCUCGAGCCCAGUCGUGCGUGCUUCGCCCCCGUGGCGAGCUCGGAGACCCUAUCGCGUCUCGGGACGCUUCUGAUGCGACCUCAGCUCAGGCGGGGCUACCCGCUGAGUUUAAGCCAUAUCAAUAAGUGGUGAGUAGAGUAGUAACAAGGAUUCCCCUAGUAACGGCGAGCGAACCGGGAAGAGCCCACCAUGAAAAUCGGUG
rnacentral:rRNA from 1 species